rnacentral:ncRNA from 11 species
ACAAACAUAUCCAGGUCUCCAGUAUUUAUGGAGUCUGUUGGGUUUCUUCCCGUAUCGACUGGCUGGCUGUUCUGAGAUUAUACUGUCAAAACUUGAUCUAGACAAUACUAGCGAAAGGACAUGCGUGACUUUUGAUU